UAUGGUAACGCUGAUUGGCCGGUGUCACGACAGUCAGGUGCGGCAAAGUCGUUAGCAAACCACAGUGGAGGCAGCAGAGUGCUUCAGCUUGUAAAGUCCACAAAAGAGAAUCAACGAGGAAUAACGGCUGCGGCGACGACUACGUGGAAACAAACGUUGGGAUAGCUUAGCAUUGUAGCAUGGACGCCGAGGACAACAGUGAUGAAGGUGAAGAUGAAGAAGUGAGGUGACGUCAACAAGACUCUUCUCAGGGGCGUUUGACAGCAGGUCGAGAGUUUCGGCUUCAGACGAUGACAACAGCGAUGAUGAUGAUGAUGUCCAUAUAGACUUCCCAGCACUCGAGGAGGCAGUGUGGCGCCAUGUUGAAAGUGUUUGCUCGUUGGUGUGGAAUGUUUGGCGGGCGAGGUGAGUGCGUUUGAUGUGUGUGUGUGUGUGUGUGAGUAAAAAUAGUCCGGGUGGGCGUGUCUCUUUGACACCGCAGUGGCCUGGGUUAUGUGCACA